UACGUAGGGCGCAAGCGUUGUCCGGAAUUAUUGGGCGUAAAGAGCUCGUAGGCGGUCUGUUACGUCCGCUGUGAAAACCCGGGGCUUAACCCUGGGCUUGCAGUGGAUACGGGCAGACUAGAGGCAGGUAGGGGAGAAUGGAAUUCCCGGUGUAGCGGUGAAAUGCGCAGAUAUCGGGAGGAACACCGGUGGCGAAGGCGGUUCUCUGGGCCUGACCUGACGCUGAGGAGCGAAAGCGUGGGGAGCGAACAGG
rnacentral:rRNA from 1 species